GCUCAGGCUGGUAGGCUUACUGAAGGCUGAGUGACUGAAAAACUUAUCAUUUGACUGACUGAAUAAUGGGCCAGCUGACUGGCUGACUGGUUGACUGACUGUCUGUCAUUGACUUACUGACAUAUUCACAGAUUCAUUAGCAUGUCUGUACCACAAAAAAGUGCUCAAUGCAGGCAGAUAAUUCACCAAGAAACAAGAACAUGUUUUAAUUGCCAUCUUUAUUGCUUGCUUGCCCUCGAUGCCUUAGGGUUGUGCAUGCACAGGCAAGCCAGUUACAAUAACUGCACUAAUUCAGUGACUUACUGAUCAUGUGAUUGAUUGUUGGAAUGAGUCAGUUGCCUAUUGACAGGCUGUUCAAUUAAAUAACUGGGUGACAUACCAAUAGAAUGACUUAUCUUGCUGUUUAGUGCAAAACACUAGCAAUUUACAUUAGGGGUUGCAGGUGGGGACAGGUGAAGAACUCUUGUGUAAUUGAAGAUAAGAAUGACCCAUUUCCCACAGUACUAAGAAAGAAAAGGAACUUCCUUUUGAACAAUUUUUUUCAUGGGUUAAACUUUGAUCUCGAGACAUAUCUUUAGUUAACCCUUUAACCCCCAGAAGUGAUUAACAUGUAACUUCCCCUUACAGUAUCCAUAUAUUAUCCGGCAAAAAAGGUCAUGAGAAUAUUCCAACAUAAAGUAGAACUUAUCUUGCUCUAACACCAAAUUCUUGAAACUAAUUUACAAAGAAAUAUGUAGUAUCCAGAGGGGAGAAUUCAUAAUCAGAACUUUGGAGUUCAAGGGUAAAUUAAACUCUUGGUUAUCUCCCUUAACUUGAAGGUACAUGCAUGAAUAACGAAUUUUUACUGAGACGCAGUCUUGGUUUCCAGUUGGCUCUCACAUCUAUCACUUGCUACACAAAUUGACCACAGGCAAAAUGAACUGAUUGAGUCACUGAGUGCUUCAAUCAUGAACUUCCAAGUUGUCAGUGAAACUCAUUGAGCAUAAGUACAAGAAAGAGGUGCUGCAGACUUUGUUCUUACCUUAGACAAGGCCUUUCCAGAAAACUCCUUAGAAAGAGAUGCCAAGUCGAAAGAGGAGGAUGAAAAAAGGGAUUCAAAGAGGAUUAGAUAAAUGAAAUGGGGAACGACAGAAAGAUCAAGGAGAAUUUGGCUAAUUCUACAAAUUGUACAUCCGACGAGUGAGACGAUGUUAUAAGUAAAGUUGAAGUACACGAGUUAAACGCAACGACUCAAGCAAAAAAGCCUAUAAAAAUUCUGCAAGUGAUUCAUUAGAGAGACGUGUUAAGACUGGACCUUCGAAGAAGAGAACAGCAAAAACGAAUUUCU
rnacentral:lncRNA from 1 species